GGCAGCUGGGACCAAAAGCAGGCAUUCUCUCCUUCAACAAUUGGUGCUCAAGAAUGAACUCUCUUCUUCCUUCGAGUGUAAAGCAAAGGGUUUAAUCUCUGCAACCCAGAAGCAGGAGUUCAUAGGGAAGAACCCAGUGUGCUGUGAUGUCUGCCAGACAGGAAAGGUGAACAGACAUUGGGACAUCAAAGCACAUGUCAUUUUGGGAACAGCUGCUCUCUCGCACGUAAACAACUCCCUGCACAUCCAGACGGGCCCUAGAGGCAAGCACUAAAGCACUGCUCAUCCACAUCUCUGGAGAAUGCCUCCUGGUUCUCCCAGACUAUGAGGCCACAGUGCUCUUCUGGA